rnacentral:rRNA from 1 species
AUUGAACGCUGGCGGCAUGCUUUACACAUGCAAGUCGAACGGCAGCGCGGGCUUCGGCCUGGCGGCGAGUGGCGAACGGGUGAGUAUGCAUCGGAACGUGCCCAGUAUUGGGGGAUAGCCCGGCGAAAGCCGGAUUAAUACCGCCUACGACCUGAGGGUGAAAGCGGGGGACCGAAAGGCCUCGCGCUAUUGGAGCGGCCGAUGUCGGAUUAGCUAGUUGGUGGGGUAAAGGCUUACCAAGGCGACGAUCCGUAGCUGGUCUGAGAGGACGACCAGCCACACUGGGACUGAGACACGGCCCAGACUCCUACGGGAGGCAGCAGUGGGGAAUUUUGGACAAUGGGGGCAACCCUGAUCCAGCCAUGCCGCGUGCGGGAAGAAGGCCUUCGGGUUGUAAACCGCUUUUGUUCGGGAAGAAAUCCUCUGGGCUAAUACCCCGGGGGGAUGACGGUACCGGAAGAAUAAGCACCGGCUAACUACGUG